UGCAAAUGAUGUUUUUUCUCACGAUGGUCUUCCAAGUCUCUCAGGCUCUGACGACACUGCCUUACGGCAUCACUGAUGCAGCAUA
rnacentral:snoRNA from 1 species